rnacentral:rRNA from 1 species
AAGUCGUAACAAGGUUUCCGUAGGUGAACCUGCGGAAGGAUCAUUACUGUAUUGUCAACACGAGUUGUUGCUGGUCCUCAAACAAGGACACGUGCACGCUCUGUUCACACAUCCACUCACACCUGUGCACCCUCUGUAGUUCCUAUGGCUUGGGGGGACCCUGUCCACCUGCUGUGGUUCUACGUCUUUACACACACUCUGUAAUGAAGUCUCAUGGAAUGUAUCCCGCGUUUAACGCAAUACAAUACAACUUUCAGCAACGGAUCUCUUGGCUCUCGCAUCGAUGAAGAACGCAGCGAAAUGCGAUAAGUAAUGUGAAUUGCAGAAUUCAGUGAAUCAUCGAAUCUUUGAACGCACCUUGCGCCCUUUGGCUAUUCCGAAGGGCAUGCCUGUUUGAGUAUCAUGAACACCUCAACUCUCAUGGUUUGCCAUGAUGAGCUUGGACUUUGGGGGUCUUGCCGGCUUGCAGUCGGCUCCUCUCAAAUCAAUCAGCUUGCCAGUGUUUGGUGGCAUCACAGGUGUGAUAACUAUCUACGCUUGUGGUUCUCUACCAAGUAGCCUUCAGUGAUGGAGGUUCGCUGGAGCUCAUAAAUGUCUCUCCUCAGCGAAGACAAUUUCGUGAACGUUUGAUCUCAAAUCAGGUAGGACUACCCGCUGAACUUAAGCAUAUCAAUAAGCGGAGGAA